rnacentral:rRNA from 1 species
GACGAACGCUGGCGGCGUGCUUAACACAUGCAAGUCGAGCGGAAAGGCCCUGCUUUUGUGGGGUGCUCGAGUGGCGAACGGGUGAGUAACACGUGAGUAACCUGCCCUUGACUUCGGGAUAACUUCAGGAAACUGGGGCUAAUACCGGAUAGGAGCUCCUGCUGCAUGGUGGGGGUUGGAAAGUUUCGGCGGUUGGGGAUGGACUCGCGGCUUAUCAGCUUGUUGGUGGGGUAGUGGCUUACCAAGGCUUUGACGGGUAGCCGGCCUGAGAGGGUGACCGGCCACAUUGGGACUGAGAUACGGCCCAGACUCCUACGGGAGGCAGCAGUGGGGAAUAUUGCACAAUGGGCGGAAGCCUGAUGCAGCAACGCCGCGUGCGGGAUGACGGCCUUCGGGUUGUAAACCGCUUUCGCCUGUGACGAAGCGUGAGUGACGGUAAUGGGUAAAGAAGCACCGGCUAACUACGUG